ensembl:lncRNA
ACCCUACCUAUUCUCUUUUCAAGGAUCAAUCAUUCCUUUCAUCUCCUUGCAGCUGUAGACACUAUCUCAACCAGGUGUGAAAUGCAAUUAAGAAAUAAUUCUGAUCUCACAGUCUUUUUUUUUCUUAAUAGCAAUCCAAUGGAGGGUGAUUUUUAAACUUUCACAUCAGUACGGUUGAUGUUUUGUGACAGUAAAUGUGAUGCUGUGUCUCCAUGUUAUUAAGAAAGAAGCUGUCCCCAGAACCGGGGGCCGACUAGAGCAUCCACAUAGAUGAUACACCCUCUUAAACGCACUUGCCUGCCGUCCAGCGCGGCUCUUCUUGCUGUGUGUAAAGAACGCUAUGCUGACAGGAGCCCAAGUGCCACUUGUUGAAUAUAACCAGCGGCUGGGAGUGAUUUGCCAAGUACUCCAGAGACUGGUUCUACCCUCUGUAUCACAGGAAGAAAUUUGAGCAUUUGUAUCCUUUCAUCUGCUCUCCUCUCCGUGCAUGGAAGAGAAGCCCGUUUGGCCUAACGGUACAGGCGCGAAGGACUAACCCUCCUGGAAUAUCGAGCUUAUGUCUGCUUCCCAGACACAACCAGUGGAAUGUCUGGACCCCGUGCAGCUUUCUCCAAACUGCUGGCCACCCCACAGCAACCUGCGUUUCCUUCAAGCCUACCGUGUGAGCCAUUGCAGUAAGCUGGGCUGGACUGGAGCUCGUGCUCCCAUACUUCACACCACACGCAGAAAGUGAGAACAGACUUCACCUGACAUGGGUGGUGCUAGUCGUCUUCAAAUCUCACAGGUUGGAGCGCAUCCCCAGACUGCUAUUCUGAGCCACCUCGUCCAGUUGAGAAGACUGCCAUCUCUAGGAUGGCAUAUGAGCUGGAUGCUUUUUCACGUCCAUGCCUCUGGAUUUUUUUCAGGCUUAGGUCUCUCCUAAGCAGGAAAAGCCCACUUCUGCCAAUCUGUAUUUUGGAGAUAUGGACUACCUUUACCUGUGUGGGUUGAGAUCAUAUAAGUCCUUUCACUGGUGAUACAAUUUGGAUUGGAACCAAGGUCAUAAGGUAAAUAGCCAAUUCUUUAUCCUCUCAGCCAAGCCCUUGAUAAGGGGUGCUCUUUGAUGUUGAGAAUGAUAGUUGGCUUUUUCAGAACUUAUAUCCAAAACAGUAAUACAUAAUGCAUUUGCUUCCAUCACACAGCUGCUGAUACAUUGUUGAAGGUCAAUUUAAAGAUUACUUAAUGACAAGAGCUACUUAAAAUCAAUCAGAUGCUUCAGAAAGCAAAAAUG